rnacentral:rRNA from 1 species
CUGACGCUCAUGCACGAAAGCGUGGGGAUCAAACAGGAUUAGAUACCCUGGUAGUCCACGCUGUAAACGAUGAUUACUCGAUGUUGGCGAUACACAGUCAGCGUCUGAGCGAAGGCAUUAAGUAAUCCACCUGGGGAGUACGUUCGCAAGGAUGAAACUCAAAGGAAUUGACGGGGGCCCGCACAAGCGGAGGAGCAUGUGGUUUAAUUCGAUGAUACGCGAGGAACCUUACCUGGGCUCGAACGUAUGUUGACUGUACCUGAAAGGGUAUUUUCCUUCGGGACAAUGUACGAGGUGCUGCAUGGUUGUCGUCAGCUCGUGCCGUGAGGUGUCGGGUUAAGUCCCAUAACGAGCGCAACCCCUAUCAUUAGUUGCCAACAGGUAAAGCUGGGGACUCUAAUGAAACUGCCUACGCAAGUAGUGAGGAAGGCGGGGAUGACGUCAAAUCAGCACGGCCCUUACGUCCAGGGCUACACACGUGCUACAAUGGCCGGUACAGAGGGCAGCUACCUGGUGACAGGAUGCCAAUCUUCAAAGCCGGUCUCAGUUCGGAUCGGAGUCUGCAACCCGACUCCGUGAAGUUGGAUUCGCUAGUAAUCGCAUAUCAGCCAUGAUGCGGUGAAUACGUUCCCGGGCCUUGUACACACCGCCCGUCAAGCCAUGGGAGCUGGGGGUACCUGAAGUUCGUGACCUAUAAGGAGCGGCCUAGGGUAAAACCAGUGACUGGGGUUAAGUCGUAACAAGGUAACC